AUUGAACGCUGGCGGAAUGCUUUACACAUGCAAGUCGAGCGGCAGCGCGGGGGCAACCCUGGCGGCGAGCGGCGAACGGGUGAGUAACAUAUCGGAACGUACCCCGUCGUGGGGGAUAACACAGCGAAAGCUGUGCUAAUACCGCAUACGACCUGAGGGUGAAAGCGGGGGAUCGCAAGACCUCGCGCGAUGGGAGCGGCCGAUAUCGGAUUAGCUUGUUGGUGAGGUAAAGGCUCACCAAGGCGACGAUCCGUAGCUGGUCUGAGAGGACGACCAGCCACACUGGAACUGAGACACGGUCCAGACUCCUACGGGAGGCAGCAGUGGGGAAUUUUGGACAAUGGGCGCAAGCCUGAUCCAGCCAUUCCGCGUGCAGGAU
rnacentral:rRNA from 1 species